AUUGAAUACAUCAGGAUAGAAUGUCUCUGUUUGGUUGGGUUGUGUUAUUGUAAUUGUUCUUUCUAGAGUUUUCUGGCACUAGUGAUUGGAGUAACAUGUUUUGUUACCUGUCUAUUUAUUUUAAUAGAGGGGGGAAUUUGUCUCAUAAGGAACUUUGUUUUAACUUUCGAAUACAGUUUGGAGUUUGAUUGAAUGUAUAAUAGAGGCUUGCUAUAGUAUUUUAUCUUGACAUUUGGCAUAUUGCAAACUGCUUU
rnacentral:misc_RNA from 1 species